AUGGCAAAGGCAUUCUACAUUAUAGUGGCUGCAGUCUUGCUAUGCCUCUUCUCUGUUGCAACGGUCUUGCUAUGCCCCUUGUGUGCUGCAACGUCCAUGCCACAUGCAUCUUCUAAAUCAUACAAGGAGUACAUCGUCUACAUCCAGAGGCCACCUCCAGAAGCUGAUAUCAUGGACAACGGCGCGCGCAACAGCUGGUUCCAGUCUUUCCUCCCUAGCAACCUAACUGACUCGGGUAAACCAUGCAUGGUCACCACUUUCGAUACCAUAAUUCACGACUUCGUCGCCUGGUUAACCGAGGCUGAGCUGGAGGUCAUGUCCAAAAAGCCCGGUGUUAGCCGCUGGACCGAGGUUGAAAUGAUGGAAUUGACCCAGGUUGGGAUGAGGAAUACACUGCAGGCAGGGUCGGGCUAUGGGUGGUGA
rnacentral:rRNA from 1 species